CCGUUAGAUGAUGAAGACAUGGUUGCAUACAUUGUCAACGGCUUAGAUGAGGAAUACAAUCCUGUUGUUUCUGCUCUUAUUACUACGGUAGAACCAAUUACUGUUUCUGAGUUGUAUUCACAGCUUUUGAACUUUGAGA
rnacentral:snoRNA from 1 species